CUUCACAGUAACCCACAGGUGGUCAAGAUGAUAGAGGCUAACUUCGGUCAGAAGGAAGCUAUAAAUGUCAAAGUUUUUGAUAUUUGUGACCUUAAUCCCCAUGAGGCCUUGGGCAAUAGCUAUGUUGUCAAUAUAAUCAUCAGGGAUUUGGUUCCUGCUGAGCCUUGGUGGUAUAUAGCAUGCAGCAUCUGUAAGAGAGGCACAGCUAGAGAAGGAAACGCAUAUAAAUGCCCGAGAUGCAGCACUGAUGCAAUAGAAACAAGGUGCUCUUAUCAUAUGCACACCUGUAGCUUUUCUCAAGUAUUUUACAUGAUGAACCAAUCUAUAUGCUACAAUUCAAUCCACGUGUAUUGAGAACUGUCUGAACUGCCUUCUAUAAUAGGUAUAGAGUAGCUAUCAUGGGUAUCGAUCCAUCAGAUUUGGCAAACGAUCAAGCCAAAGCUGCUGAGUUUACCUUUUUUGGAGAAAUCGGUGAACAAUUGAUUGGCAGGCCUGUUCUUAACCUGGUUGCAUCUGUUCAUGGAGCACGAGAUAUAGUACCACCAGAGAUCAAAGCAAUUUUUGGCAGACAAUAUGUCAUUAGAACCAGUGUGUCACGUGGCUCAUUGCAAAGAAAUCGGGUAUCCUACCAGGUGGAUUCCCUUAUGCUACCCCACCCAGAUCCAAGCCAUGCAAUUUGUCUACCCAGCCAUGAUACUUGCGUGGGCUCUUCUGGACAUGGCUCAACAUCAGCUAAUGCAGUUGAACCACAUGCCAUCGUUUUGUCUUCUACUCAAUCUAUGCCACCUUCUACGCCGCUUGUGCUUCCAGAUACAAAGGUAUAAUCUAAUUUUGUUGUCUUAUAAGGAUAUGUGACCUGUUACAUCUAAGUUACCAUAAUUUCUUAGAUUAUAUCCUUUUUGUAUAUGACACAAGGGAUAGCCAUGGUGAUCAGCAUGAGGCAACACCACCUACUCCACAGGCUAGCAAUAUAUUUUAUACUCACAUCAAUUAUAUGCAUAUGUCUUUGUCAGACCUUCCUGACCAUUAUUACUUUAUCAGGUCAUAGCUAUAGCACAGCUAGAUAAAAAACAUAAAUCUUCUACGGCUGAUGAGAAUCUUGGCCAUGGAGGGUUAGUGCCAAUGGAAAAUUUCAUGUUUUACUUUGAUUUCUUCUCUUUUUCCUCAUGACUCAAACAACUUCCAUUUGUAGCUCAUCUCCUGAUGAACAUGAUUGUCGCAAGCCUUCUGUUGUGCGCACACUGUUCGUACACAAGCUGCCACCGGAGCCGCCAAAAUGACUUGAGCCUCCCAUGUGAUAUCCCUAGAGCGAAGUGACCUUUUGCACCUGGCAUGGCAACACGUAUACUUCUCUCUCUGAUUGAAGCAAAGCUAAAAUACUUUGGUCAAUCUAUUUUGCAGUGCCAACAUAGAAAAGAGAAAUGUUCUUUUGCGCAAGCCAUUGGACCAAUCGAUAUUAGUUUUACCUGUUACGGGCUCACUACCCCUAAUAGCUAGCCAAAUGAUAAAUGAAUUAGUAUCAGCAGUGUUUGGUGUCUAUAAUAUAUGCACGUUCUGACAAAUAUCGCUGCAAGUGAUAAGACAUAGUCUUAUUAAUAGUACUAUAUCUAUUCUGCUUAUACUACUUCCUUCCUGAGCAAUCUGCUUACAUUUGUGCCAUAGAAUCACCACUUCUGUUGUUUCUUAUAUAUGAAACCAUUGUACCUA